rnacentral:lncRNA from 13 species
AUGAGACUGCCGCACAGUUCCCAUGAGACGGCCACAAAGCUCCCACGAGACUGCCAUACAGCUCCCACGAGACUGCCGUACAGCUCCCACGAGACUGCCAUACAGCUCCCACGAGACUACCGUACAGCUCCCAUGAGACUGCCAUACAGCUCCCAUGAGACUGCCGUAGAGCUCCCGCGAGACUGCCGUACAGCUCCCAUGAGACUGCCGUACAGCUCCCAUGAGACUGCCGUACAGCUUCCACGAGACUGCCGCAAAGCUCCCACGAGACUGCCGUACAGCUCCCAUGAGACUGCCAUACAGCUCCCACGAGACUGCCAUAUAGCUCCCAUGAGACUGCCGUACAGCUUCCACGAGACUGCCGUACAGCUCCCACGAGACUGCCGUACAGCUCCCACGAGACUGCCGUACAGCUCCCACGAGACUGCCGUACAGCCCCCACGAGACUGCCUUUUAGAGUGCUUAAGAAAUAUCUGCCCACAAAGAGAAGCAGGAGAUUAAACUUCAUUCAACUGUUCUUGAGUUUUCCCCUUUUAAUUAACACUAUCAACGUUUUCCUUUUACUGUGGCAAUUGUGAUCGAAUCAAACGCCAAUAUUAGCCACUUCGAUGCAACAUUCUGAAACAUGAAAGAUAUUUUGUUGUAAGCAGAAUGCAUAGGAAUAUAAUUAUAUUGUGAAUGACUCACCACAUUCUCCAGACGGGUGAGGCAUAGGCAGUGGUGUAAAGUACUUAAGUAAAAAAAUACUUGAAAGUACUACUUACAGUGCCUUGCGAAAGUAUUCGGCCCCCUUGAACUUUGCAAACUUUUUGCCACAUUUCAGGAUUCAAACAUAAAGAUAUAAAACUGUAUUUUUUUGUGAAGAAUCAACAACAAGUGGGACACAAUCAUGAAGUGGAACGACAUUUAUUGGAUAUUUCAAACUUUUUUAACAAAUCAAAAACUGAAAAAUUGGGCGUGCAAAAUUAUUCAGCCCCUUUACUUUCAGUGCAGCAAACUCUCUCCAGAAGUUCAGUGAGGAUCUCUGAAUUAUCCAAUGUUGACCUAAAUGACUAAUGAUGAUAAAUACAAUCCACCUGUGUGUAAUCAAGUCUCCGUAUAAAUGCACCUGCACUGUGAUAGUCUCAGAGGUCCG